ensembl:lncRNA
CCCAUCCACUGCCUGGGAAUCACGCACCGGUUUGGGUUUGUCUCUGUGCUUCACCCCAUGGAAUGGCUGUCCUGCCCUGGAAGCGGCUGUUUGGGUCCAGCCGACAAAACCAACGUGAUGGGGCAGAGGAAGCAGCAGUUGCACAGCAGGGUGAACCUGUGGGCACUGCGUAGGGUAAAUGCUGAUUGAAUUAACACGGGGCUGCCUAGCAGUGCGCCAUCACAUGCCAUCUCUUCUGCCUCCAUCACCGCUGCUGGCAGAGCUUAUUUAGAGCACGCAAGGGAAGAGUUUGACCUAGAGCAGCUGCGAAGAAGGAAGCAGAAGCAAUUCUGCUGCAAUCAAUGGCAUUUCCCUGGAUUUCUUCUGGCCUUGCCAAGAGCAGAAUCUGCUCUCAAGUCUGCAGGAAGCAAAGUUUUCCUUCUUUUACAAGAGGCUUUAGCUCUAAUUGCCUCUUCCUGUGACAGAGCGGUUGUCCCUGCUUCCCUCCAGCUGGGCACGGCCAUGGGGCCGGGUUGCCCAGGGCAUGCUCUGUGCUCACAUGUGAUGGAGCGUUGAACUGGG